rnacentral:lncRNA from 1 species
GCUCUCACUACAUUAAUUCACUCACUCAUUUUCUUUUGAUGUAAUUCAGAUAUUUUAAGGGGAAAAAAAAAAAAAUUGUCCUGUUGAAUUGACUUAAACGAGGCUCACAUUGACAAUAUGUAUAUACCCCCAGAAGUGUUUUCUGCUUCAUGUGUAUAAAUUUGACUCUUCUCCAUUAAGGAAACAGAACAUUUGGUAUCUGCAAACUGUGCAUAGAGCACGCCUAUGCUUCAGACCAAGAAUAUGAUCUAACACUUAGUCAAGAAGGGUUCUUCCUACCAUGGGGCCUUCUGAUUGUAUUGUAGAUAUGGUGACCGAGGAGAGAGAUGAAGGAAGAUACAACAACUGCUUGAAUUUUGUGCUGUAGGAAGCAUCAGAAAGUAUUUAAGAGAGCUAUGCGUGGGAAGGAUUCAGAAUCAUCUUUCAGGUUAAAGAGGACCACAGAAGUGCCAUAAAAUCUCAAUCAUAUAG